CAGGGGACGACAGAACCCGUCUCCCGUCUGGUCACCAGCAUGGAUGGCCUGUCAAUCAAAACCACUCUGCACAAAUCCUGCAGCAUGGACGAGAGCAAAAAAGAAAAAAGCAGCCUGAGCCAAGGAGACAGACUGAGAGAACUGAAAGGAAAGAGAUCAGUGUUGUCGUCUUCAGGACUAAACCUGUCGACGACGUCACACACUCCCGCCCGCGUUCCCUU